GGAAUAUUGCGCAAUGGGCGAAAGCCUGACGCAGCAACGCCGCGUGAGUGAUGAAGGCCUUCGGGUCGUAAAGCUCUGUCGGAGGGAACGAAUGUUCCCGGGGUUAACAGUCUCGGGAAGUGACGGUACCCUCAAAGGAAGCACCGGCAAACUCUGUGCCAGCAGCCGCGGUAAUACGGAGGGUCCAAGCGUUGUCCGGAAUCACUGGGUGUAAAGGGUGCGUAGGCGGACUCGUAAGUCAGGGGUGAAAGCCCGCGGCUCAACCGCGGAACUGCCUUUGAUACUGCGAGCCUUGAGUCCUGGAGGGGCUGGCGGAAUUCGUGGUGUAGCGGUGAAAUGCGUAGAUAUCACGAGGAACACCGGAGGUGUAGACGGCCAGCUGGACAGGUACUGACGCUGAGGCACGAAAGCGUGGGGAGCGA
rnacentral:rRNA from 1 species